UACGUAGGGUGCAAGCGUUAAUCGGAAUUACUGGGCGUAAAGCGUGCGCAGGCGGUUCUAUAAGACAGAUGUGAAAUCCCCGGGCUCAACCUGGGAACUGCAUUUGUGACUGUAGAGCUGGAGUACGGCAGAGGGGGAUGGAAUUCCGCGUGUAGCAGUGAAAUGCGUAGAUAUGCGGAGGAACACCGAUGGCGAAGGCAAUCCCCUGGGCCUGUACUGACGCUCAUGCACGAAAGCUAGGGGAGCAAACAGG
rnacentral:rRNA from 1 species